UAGUCCACGCCCUAAACGAUGCUAACUCGAUGUUUGGGAUUUAUUUUUGAGCAUCCAAGCGAAAGCGAUAAGUUAGCCACCUGGGGAGUACGUCGGCAACGAUGAAACUCAAAGGAAUUGACGGGGGUCCGCACAAGCAGCGGAGCGUGUGGUUUAAUUCGAGGCUACGCGAAGAACCUUACCUGGGUUGGAAUACAUAGUGAACGAAUCCGAAAGGAGGAGGUCCUCGUAAGAGGCGCUAUGACAGGUGCUGCAUGGCUGUCGUCAGCUCGUGUCGUGAGAUGUUCGGUUAAGUCCGAAAACGAGCGCAACCCCUAGGUCUAGUUAUAAGUGUCUAGACCGACUGCCUCCGGCAAGGAGGAGGAAGGUGGGGAUGACGUCAAGUCAGCAUGGCCUUUAUGUCCAGGGCUACACACACGCUACAAUGGCGCGUACAAUAGGUUGCGAAGGCGCGAGCUGGAGCCAAUCCUGAAAAGCGCGUCGUAGUUCGGAUUGUAGG
rnacentral:rRNA from 1 species